GGCUAGAUACAGUAGUUUAGUUACAUCAAGAGAGAAGCAACCACUCUAUUUAUAGCAGGGUGAAGAUGAGGUUGGGCUCAAGAUCUGUCAGGUGAGGGUCCAAUAAUGGCUUUAAUUGCACUCAAUGAUAGAUCUAACUUAACUAAGAAAUGAGAUCAAGAUCUAUAGGAUGAGGUCUCAGGACUUAGAGACCAAGUCUGCUGCAAUUUGCUUGAGAAGCAUGGGGCAAGAGUUAUCCACUUAUUAAUUGACACAUUCAUCAAGAUUUGUCAGGUGAGGUGGUGUGCCAAUCGGUGGGACCUA
rnacentral:lncRNA from 1 species